AUCUGGGUGCUGUAGUCGGUCAUCACGCUAGUCUCACACUAGAGGUCCCCGGUUUGAACCCCGAUUCAACA
rnacentral:tRNA from 15 species